rnacentral:misc_RNA from 1 species
GGAUUAUCUGGCAAGUCUGCAUUAGCAAAGCAAAAGAAGGAAAAGAGGAAAACAUAUGGGUCACUUGAACAUACGGUAAAAGUUAGCCUUUUCUUUAUGAAGACUUUGGACGAAAAAGCAACAGUCAAUAAUGGUUCCCUUUCUCUAAACUAAACAACCUUCUCUUUCUAUUUUUGGCUUUUGAAUCACUUGUGUUCUUUAUCAAGAUUGGGCAAACUGAAUCUCACAGUUUGGAAGAAAAACUUGUUUUUCUUGCUUCCUUUAGCGCUUCAACAAAUACUCACUGUGCUAUUUAUCUUAAUAAAAACAAAGAUCAAUAACCGACAAAAACUACUAGACUCCA